rnacentral:lncRNA from 1 species
CGGCGGGGCUGGGCCUGCGCGGCCGCGGCGGGCAGCGGCACCCGCGCGGCGGGGCCGGGGAGGUGGAGGCGCGUGGCGCUGCUUAAAGGAUGCGGGGCUGAGGCGGGAAAAUGAAUCUGGAAGAAAAUUGGUGAAUCCAAUCCAGUGGACCUACAAGCACUCUGACAGGCUCAGAGAGCAGAGUCUGGACCAAAGAGCAAUUACCCCACCAAACGAUUUCAGUAUCAAUGGUGAAAAAGCAGCAAAGAGCAAAUACUACCCUUCAGUGAAAGACCACCAAGUGUACCUGGGGAACAGAGAGGUGAAGAAAUAGGUUAGAUGAGUGGGAGACCCUUCUGCCUUUAAAUAUCUGCUGUCUCUGGGUGAAGCACACGAUGGGCUUGGUGAGUCAGUGUGGGAUAGUCUGAAGAGUCUGUAAAGCGCUCUGUGAAGACAUGUUGUGUUCAAGACAGC